AGGAGCGGGCGUGCCUAAUCUUGGCUAGUCGAGCGGAUCUUCAUUAGCUUGCUUUUGAAGAUCAGCGGCGGACGGGUGAGUAACACGUGGUCAACCUGCCUGUAAGACUGGGAUAACUUCGGGAAACCGGAGCUAAUACCGGAUAAUCCUUUCCCUCACAUGAGGGAAAGCUGAAAGACGGUUUCGGCUGUCACUUACAGAUGGGCCCGCGGCGCAUUAGCUAGUUGGUGAGGUAACGGCUCACCAAGGCAACGAUGCGUAGCCGACCUGAGAGGGUGAUCGGCCACACUGGGACUGAGACACGGCCCAGACUCCUACGGGAGGCAGCAGUAGGGAAUCUUCCGCAAUGGACGAAAGUCUGACGGAGCAACGCCGCGUGAGCGAUGAAGGCCUUCGGGUCGUAAAGCUCUGUUGUCAGGGAAGAACAAGUAUCGGAGUAACUGCCGGUACCUUGACGGUACCUGACCAGAAAGCCACGGCUAACUACGUGCCAGCAGCCGCGGUAAUACGUAGGUGGCAAGCGUUGUCCGGAAUUAUUGGGCGUAAAGCGCGCGCAGGCGGUUCCUUAAGUCUGAUGUGAAAGCCCCCGGCUCAACCGGGGAGGGUCAUUGGAAACUGGGGAACUUGAGUGCAGAAGAGGAGAGCGGAAUUCCACGUGUAGCGGUGAAAUGCGUAGAGAUGUGGAGGAACACCAGUGGCGAAGGCGGCUCUCUGGUCUGUAACUGACGCUGAGCGCGAAAGCGUGGGGAGCGAACAGGAUUAGAUACCCUGGUAGUCCACGCCCGUAAACGAUGAGUUGCUAAGUUUUAGAGGGGUUUUCCGCCCCUUUAG
rnacentral:rRNA from 1 species